GACGAACGCUGGCGGCGUGCUUAACACAUGCAAGUCGAACGGAAAGGCCCUUCGGGGUACUCGAGUGGCGAACGGGGGAGUAACACGUGGGUGAUCUGCCCUUCACUUUGGGAUAAGGCUGGUAGACUGGGUCUAAUACCGAAUAUGACCACGUGCUUCAUAGUGUUUGUUGGUAAGCUUUUGCGGGGUGGGAUGUGAGCGCGGGCUAUCAGCUUGUUGGUGUGGUAAUGGGCUACCAAGGCGACGUCGGGUAGCCGGCCUGAGAGGGUGACCGGCCACACUGCGACUGAGCUACGGCACAGACUCCUACGGGAGGCAGCAGUGGGGAAUAGUGCACAAUGGGCGCAAGCCUGAUGAAGCGACGCCGCGUGAGGGAUGACGGCCUUCGGGUUGUCAACCUCUUUCCAUCCCGACGAAGCGCAAGUGACGGUACCUAUAGAAGAAGCACCGGCCAACUCCGUG
rnacentral:rRNA from 1 species